rnacentral:misc_RNA from 1 species
GAUGAAGAACGCAGCGAAAUGCGAUACGUAAUGUGAAUUGCAGAAUUCAGUGAAUCAUCGAAUCUUUGAACGCAUAUUGCGCUCUCUGGUAUUCCGAAGAGCAUGCUUGUUUGAGUAUCAGUAAACACCUCAACUUCCAUAUCUUUUUUGAAAUGGGAGUUGGACUUGAGUGAUCCCAACGCUUUUCCUCACCGAAAAGUGGCGGGUUACUUGAAAUGCAGGUGCAGCUGGACUUUUCUCUGAGCUAUAAGCAUAUCUAUUUAGUCUGCCUAAAAAACAGAUUAUUACCUUUGCUGCAGCUAACAUAAAGGAGAUUAGUUCUUGUGCUGACUGAUGCAGGAUUCACAAAGACAGGCUUCGGCCGACUUUGUAAACUCGAUCUCAAAUCAAGUAAGACUACCCGCUGAACUUAAGCAUAUCAAUAAGCGGAGGA